rnacentral:tRNA from 1 species
GCUCCGGUAGUAUAGCCCGGUCAAGUAUGCCGGCCUUUCGAGCCGGAGACCCGGGUUCAAAUCCCGGCCGGAGCA